rnacentral:rRNA from 1 species
CCUGCCAGUAGUCAUAUGCUUGUCUCAAAGAUUAAGCCAUGCAUGUCUAAGUACAUGCCGAAACAAGGCGAAACCGCGAAUGGCUCAUUAAAUCAGUUAUGGUUCCUUAGAUCGUUUCUUCCUACUUGGAUAACUGUGGCAAUUCUAGAGCUAAUACAUGCAGUGAGCCCGAAGCCCCUCGGGGCGACGGGUGCUUUUAUUAGACCAAGAUCAAUCGGGCUUCGGUCCGUUUUGUGUGGUGACUCUGGAUAACUUUGUGCUGAUCGCACGGCCACGAGCCGGCGACGUUUCUUUCAAGUGUCUGCCUUAUCAACUGUCGAUGGUAGGUUAUGCGCCUACCAUGGUUGUUACGGGUAACGGAGAAUCAGGGUUCGAUUCCGGAGAGGGAGCCUGAGAAACGGCUACCACAUCCAAGGAAGGCAGCAGGCGCGCAAAUUACCCACUCCCGGCACGGGGAGGUAGUGACGAAAAAUAACAAUACGGGACUCUUUUGAGGCCCCGUAAUUGAAAUGAGUACACUCUAAAUCCUUUAACGAGGAUCCAUUGGAGGGCAAGUCUGGUGCCAGCAGCCGCGGUAAUUCCAGCUCCAAUAGCGUAUACUAAAGUUGCUGCGGUUAAAAAGCUCGUAGUUGGAUCUCAGUUACAGGCGGGAAGUGCGUGGACACCACGUUACGGCCCGUGCUGAACAUCAUGCCUGUCGUGGCUUGGUUCCCUUCAUCAGGUGCCUUGCUUUGACCGGCGCGUUUACUUUGAAAAAAUUAGAGUGCUCAACGCAGGCGAUUCGCCUGAAUAACAGUGCAUGGAAUAAUAGAACAAGAUCCUGUUUCUGUUCUGUUGGUUUUUGGAAUACAGGAUAAUGAUUAAGAGGGACAGACGGGGGCAUUCGUAUUGCGGCGCUAGAGGUGAAAUUCUUGGACCGUCGCAAGACGAACUACUGCGAAAGCAUUUGCCAAGAAUGUUUUCAUUGAUCAAGAACGAAAGUUAGAGGUUCGAAGGCGAUCAGAUACCGCCCUAGUUCUAACCAUAAACGAUGCCAACCAGCGAUCCGCCUGAGUUACUCAAAUGACUCGGCGG